rnacentral:rRNA from 1 species
GACGAACCGUGCGAACGUUGUUCGGAAUCACUGGGCUUAAAGGGCGCGUAGGCGGGUGAUCAAGUCAGGGGUGAAAUCUUUCGGCUUAACCGGAAAACAGCUUCUGAUACUGGUCAUCUUGAGGGAGGUAGGGGCAUGUGGAACUUCCGGUGGAGCGGUGAAAUGCGUAGAUAUCGGCGGGAACGCCAGUGGCGAAAGCGACAGGCUGGACCUUUUCUGACGCUGAGGCGCGAAAGCUAGGGUAGCAAACGGG